UACGGUCACAUCACGUUAAAGCAUCGAUUCUCGUACAAUCAGCGAAGUUAAGCCUGAUUAGUACCUAGAUGGGUGACCGCUUGAGAAUACCAGGUGCUGUAAG